UACGAAGGGGGCUAGCGUUGCUCGGAAUCACUGGGCGUAAAGGGUGCGUAGGCGGGUUUUUAAGUCCGGGGUGAAAUCCUGGAGCUCAACUCCAGAACUGCCUUUGAUACUGAGGAUCUUGAGUUCGGGAGAGGUGAGUGGAACUGCGAGUGUAGAGGUGAAAUUCGUAGAUAUUCGCAAGAACACCAGUGGCGAAGGCGGCUCACUGGCCCGAUACUGACGCUGAGGCACGAAAGCGUGGGGAGCAAACAGG
rnacentral:rRNA from 1 species